ACUACUCCUACAGACAGGUUACGACGAGAAUGGUUAGGAGGUGUCGUAUCUUAAGUACGAAGAAGCGUUUUGUGUAUAUCCAGAGUCUGUUUCAGUAGUUUUGUAUCGUUAAGUACUUGUAAUUCUGAAUCGGAAUCACCUAAAACAUCAUUUUCGGGACUGCUUUCUGCUUUACAUUGUAAAUUGACUGUCAGCGUGAGUGAGAUGUGCAUCGACGCGAUGGUUGCUAAGGAGAAAUCGUGGAAAAAUACAAUAAGCAGUUUUCACAGAGAUCACGCAAUACGAUCAAAAGCCCGGCAUAAGAAUUCUCCUCGAGUAUAUCCUGGUGAAUUAACAACACUGCGUGACAGGAAACGCAAAAUGCGAGUUAAACCGAGGAAGUCGGAACAACUGUUAGGCCUACGUGCGGCCUACCACAGAGUAUGGGAGUAUCCGGACCAGACGGUGCCUUCAGCGGCGACAAUGGCACCAAAUAAUACGACACAGUAUUUAAUGGACAUUGCGUAUCAAGAUCUUCUGAACGAUUCGACAAAAAUAUGCAGCGCACAGAAAGAUGUAUUUGACUUCGCGCCGGCGUCGACCGAGUGCUACGAAGAAUCCCAGGAAGUCCCAAGAAUUUUCGCUUCAACUGAUAUGGAUUAUGAGAGGACUCUCGACUUUCAGCAGAGGGAUUUUGACAACGUGUUCUUUAUGAAUGAGAUCUGAUAUAACGUUGAUCGAAACCUGACUUUGUGUUCUCAACUUUCAGUCAUCGGACAAACUUGCGAAACACUGUCAGAAAUGUUGACGCACCGACUCUGUUCGCACACGGGAGGGCGCUCUUGAACCACGCAACUGCACCCUGCAGUGUUGCUGCCUUCGGAGUCUCUCGCUCCGCCCAGGCCGCGACUUGUGGACAACAGGUGUGUGCACUUCCGCCAGUCAGAGACCACAUGUAGUUGCUCGACAAGGAAAGCUGCAGGUGCUCGGCCCUCCGGGAUUGGAUUGUCACCCCCUGACCCACAGGUAUACGUGGCAUGUGGUUACGAAACUCAGAGUUUUGUUCACUGUGAUUGGUUUGAGACAAAAGAACUUUUACGUUCACGUCCUGUUAUUUUGAGAUAUCGAAAGAUGCCUUAAAUAGCGCAUGCUCAGAUAUGACAAGCCCUUGUCUAUUCAGAUACAUCUGUGUGUAAGAGAAUUUUACAGGUCGAAUGUCCCCCGUGUUGGACUUCAGCUGAACUGUCAGAGCAAAGCGGUCUGGGGAAUGAGACAUUGUUCUCCGAGCGAGCGGGUUUGGGUAAUCUUUUUCGCUUUUGUUGUCUCAACAUCUAAUGGAGGUCCAUUAAUUAUUUUAUUGUAUGGACAUUAAUGCCUGUACAUUAAGGGAAUGCACUCUUCACGAAAGUUUUUCUGAACAAACUGUGUGUGUGGGUGCAACUCUUGUGUGAAUGUUGCUAUGUAUCACAAGAAAGCUUCAUUUCCCUGUGCUCUUGCUAACAUUUAAUACGCUUGUAAAUAUCAUGAUUUACUGAGUAAAUAAACUUACAUUGUUAAA